rnacentral:rRNA from 1 species
ACUUAAGCAUAUCAAUAAGCGGAGGAAAAGAAACCAACCGGGAUUGCCUUAGUAACGGCGAGUGAAGCGGCAAAAGCUCAAAUUUGAAAUCUGGUACCUUCGGUGCCCGAGUUGUAAUUUGUAGAAGGUAACUUUGGGGCUGGUCCUUGUCUAUGUUCCUUGGAACAGGACGUCAUAGAGGGUGAGAAUCCCGUGUGGCGAGGAUCCCAGUUCUAUGUAAAGUGCUUUCGAAGAGUCGAGUUGUUUGGGAAUGCAGCUCUAAGUGGGUGGUAAAUUCCAUCUAAAGCUAAAUAUUGGCGAGAGACCGAUAGCGAACAAGUACAGUGAUGGAAAGAUGAAAAGAACUUUGAAAAGAGAGUGAAAAAGUACGUGAAAUUGUUGAAAGGGAAGGGCAUUUGAUCAGACAUGGUGUUUUGCGCCCUCUGCUCCUUGUGGGUGGGGGAAUCUCGCAGCUCACUGGGCCAGCAUCAGUUUUGGCGGUAGGAUAAAUCUGCAGGAAUGUAGCUUGCUUCGGCAAGUGUUAUAGCCUGUUGAAAUACUGCCAGCCGGGACUGAGGACUGCGACUUUUAGUCAAGGAUGCUGGCAUAAUGGUUAUAUGCCGCCCGUCUUG